AUAGAAAGAGUCCAACACGGACUGCACAUGCUGAAGAAACAAAUUCAAUUGAAGCAAGCACCACAGCCCAGGCCUCGACGUCUGAAAACAACACGGUCCAAGCAGCAGGGAAUUAGGGUGUUAUCUUGGGAUUGAUACUGGGACCAGCCGUCAGAGAGAGAGGAAGAAUAUUCCUAGGGGAAACCAACACAGUGCUGGAAUGGAGGGGGACGUUGCUUGAUAGUUGGAUAAUUUCUACAUGUUGAUUCUCAUUUCAUUUUAAUUGGGUGAUAGUGAUUUAUUUAAGUAUUCUUCAUCUUUAUUGUAGAAGCGGUGCAACAGGGAGAUUCUAUUUCAUUUUCUUUGCAUUUGUUUGGAAGCAGCGCUGGAACAAAGCUUUCCUUUAUUUUACAAUUGUUUUUAUGUGUGUGUGAUGUUGGUUGGGAGGAGUGAUGCAUGCAUGUUGCACGUCUAGAAUAGAGAUUGAUUUCAUUUGGUUUUGGAGAAAAGGAAUUACGCUGAUUUAAACAUUAAAUGAGUCACAUGGGUUCAUUAGUUAAUGAUGUCUCGGUAUUUUCAAAGGAAAAGUGCCUUUAAUUUCAAUUGCUGCCACCUACAUGGAAAGCAUUUAUUUUCAUUUGAAGAAAGACAUGUUAAGGGAAUUAAUUUUAGAAACACAUGUUUCGGUUUU
rnacentral:lncRNA from 1 species